AGUGAGUUGAAACCUAUCAACUCUUGGAGCAAGAAUAAAAUGGCAACAUAGUAGAGCUAAACAAGUAUGUGUCCAAUAUACACAGCUUUUACUUUUCAAAUACUUUCUUAGAUUGAAAGUUGAAAACCAAUAUGAGGAGGUUGAAAUCAACAUGUUGAUCGACAAUUGAGAUCUGAAAAUGUUGUAUAUUAUCAUUACAAUGAGGAUAAACAAAGAGAAGAUGAGAUCAUAGAGUUUAGCAUAUUCUUUCUUAUUUUCUUUUUUCUUAUCUUUAGGUUCCUAAUUCUUGGAAGAAUUCAUGCAUGGCGUUUAAUUUCUUAUUCUUUUUACUGGCCAUUACAUAACACGAAGGACUAAUAUGGAAUUUUUAGGAUGAGAGGGGAAUGAGGACUAGAGAGCAUUUGAGCCGGGGUGUAGAGGCCACUAGAACUCAAGGAUAUGAGAAAGCUAAGUUGAUGCAGACUCUUGAUGUGUGCUGCAUAUAUAGGAGGUGUUUGUUUGAUAGGAUAAGUCUCUUGGAUUUGAUUUAAAUUUGCCAAUCUGACCUCAUCACAUGUUUGGAGGCCCAGAUAUGGUUGGGCUAGAAAAUUUAAUUCCUAUCAGACAUUGAUUUGAAGUCUAGUUGAAAACACGUUAUUAAAUAUAACGAAACAUUCAUUCGGCUCAUUCGCGACAACUCGAAACCACUAUUCCUCUGAGACUUCGUCUGACACUCUCUCAUCGUACGCGCUCUGUUCAAGUUUUCCGGUCAUCCGCGGUCGUGUUCCACUAUCUCUAACUAUCUCUGGUCGUUGCCAUCUCGUUCAAUUGUGUUUUAGGUAAAUUUUUCUCUAGAGAACUCUUUUGUGGUUUUCGAUAUGAAAUUCUCUGAUUCAACUAAUUCAACUUAAUCCUACGCGAUUGAUCUUUCUCUCUAAUUUGAUGGGUUUUCUUUCUUUUUAUGUGCUACUGUGAAUUUAAUUUAAGGGUAAUUCAUAGGUAGUAAGAACUUUUGAUUGAUUGAUUGUGUUAUGUUGAAUUGGUUACAGGAUUUAUGUUCAUGACGUCAAGUUAUGGUAAAAGUUUGUCUUCUAGUAAAUUCUCUCUAAACCUCUUUUGUAUCCCUGACCUCUAGGAUUAUGUGGGUUUUGGAGUUCGAGAAUAAAAUGGCACACGAGUCUUGGGGAUAGAUAGAUAGCUGCAAUCUUUGGGAUGUUUUAAAAAAAUGGAAUGUUAUGUAUGUUUUGUACUUGACUGUUACAUAUAAUAGAUAUUUGGUUUUUAAGGAACUUUGUCCUCAUAUAGUUGGUUGAGUUUUGAACUUGUAAUUAUCAGUAUUGUAAUAUAUACUGAAAUAUUGUUCAAGAACCAUGGCAUCCGCAUCGAACAGAGGUCAAAGUAGAGUUCAACAAUUGCUUGCUACAGAGCAUAGCGUCAAUGCUGCCAGAAAUCGUAAGUUUUGUUCAUUGUCUUUGAUUUCACCAAUGCAAUAAUCACAUAAACAAGAUCCAAAUAUAUACAUUCACAUUUUAAUUCUCCAUUGUCUACAGGGUUUGGUGAAAGGGCUCAUAUUGCAAAUGAUAAUGUAUCUUCCGGUAGCUCUCUCUCUCUCUCUCUCUCUCUCUCUCUCUCUCUCUCUCUCUCUCUCUCUCUCUCUCUCUCUCUCUCUCUCUCUCUCUCUCUCUCUCUCUCUCUCUCUCUCUCUCUCAUUAUGUAUAUAUAUUAUUGAGUAGUAUUAUGUCACAUACUUAUUUUCUUUCCUUUUUUUUUU
rnacentral:lncRNA from 1 species